ensembl:lncRNA
GGGGGUAUAACAGGACUGGAAUAGAAUCAGGGUCAAGAGGGCUUUGAGGAGUUGGAGCUCUGACAGGUCACUGAGGGUAGGGUGACGGAGGUCCCAAAUCUUUCCCCAGAAACUGUCAGCACCCUAAACAGGAGGGACAGAGGGACUGACUGUGGUGGGGCAGUGCCUUCACCUGUAGGGGAAAUGGGGCACCAGAGGAGAGGACUGGGUGAACUGGACAGUAUGUAGGGUAAGUGGGUGUUCCUGAAGAAGUUCAUGGUGCAGUGGCUCUCUGGGGCCAUACAUGGGCUCUAGUCCAGAAUGAGCAGGAUGAAAGUAACCAAGGCCACUGCAGGACGCUCGUGGGUUAGCUCAGAGCAGGGGAUCUGAAAAGGAGAUCUUGGGAGGAUGAGAAGGCUCUGGCAGAUGGACAGUGGAGAGUGUAGGACAGGCUUAGGGGCUUUGCAAGAGGCCAGUUGCCCCAGGGCUUGUAUUUAGGGUGCUAGGGGUCACCCAAGAGCUCACACAUCCUGAGUUAUAGACAGUCUCUUGGGAGUCAUUUAUGUUCAAGUGGAUGUGGAGUGGAGGAGACUAUGUGGAAAGUUGAAAAAAGGGGACUAAAACCCCAGGGAACACUGAAGGGCAGGGAUGGGAGCUUUGGAGAAGGCAGAAGGAGCGUGGUCAGCAGAUCAGAAGAGACCCUAGGAGCAUGGCCCAGAGGCAUGGAGUGGCCACUUUAGGAGGCUAGGGGUGGCCACCAGCCUGGAUUGAGGCCACCAGUGUGGACUGCAGCAGCGAUGCAGGGGAGGAGACCAGGGAAAUGGAUGGUCCUAGGUGACUUGUAAAAGUGGCCCUGGUCUGAGGAUGAGUGUGAGAAGCAAGGCAAGAUGGGUGGCAAGAGCCCAGCAGACUACCCCUGGGGUCCUGGGUGGGAGCAGGAAUGAGGCUAAGGAUAGCGGAAGGUGACUUGGGCAGAUGCCAGUGUCCUUGGAAGCUUGCUCCGGUCCCUGUCACAUCUCACAGGAACAUACUUAUCUACUCCCAGAUUCCUUCAGGCCCCCAUCCCUUGAAGAUUAUGUAAAGGAAUUCCCACUCCCUGAAGGCAAUGGCCUCAUCUUUUACGUGCACCUCAGGAACACCCUCUAAUCAGCUCUAAGAGAAGGGCCUGAGGCAGCUGGGACCCAGGAAAUGGUGCAGCGAAUUCACAUCUUCCAGUUCCUGAAAUCACUUGCCAACACUCCUUCUCCAGAAGGGCUGUUGCUAUUCCCUCCACUCCUCCUGGCCACUCUGUGAGCCUGUCAGUUCCCAACAGCAAGGUCAGCAGCAGUGUUUUAUUGGUUAUCAGAACAAGGUCCCAGAUGCUCCUGCCACCACGUGGCCUCUUUGGGGCUCCCUUCCUUCCCGCACUGCCUGCAGGCUCAGUGCCCAGUGUGGAGGGUGCAGGAGAAAGCAGCUGUGUGCAGAGUCUCUAUGUCUGGGGACAGGGCUGAGGCUUGAGCUUUAGGAAUGUUUUGCACAUGAUCAUGAUGCCUGCAGCAAGUGCUGAGCAAGCUGGCACCUCCUGCCUCCAGUUCUACUGGGUUAUCCUGGGCAGGAGUCCUCCCUGCAAACCUUCUGAAUGAAGCCACCACCUAUGGACUCAACUAUCGUGCAUGUGGAAGACAAUGUUCACCUUGCCCAAAGAGACUCAGGGACUCUUCUCAAACCCAAGACUGAUACUGAAACAAGUUGGGUUAUCCCUGCCUAGGAGGCCAAUGUCAAAUCACUUGCCAGUGGGGCCUGUCCUGUCACUAACCCCCGGCUUGACUGAUGGCCUCAACCUCUGUGAAAAGACAGCAAGAGCUGUCCCUUAGCUUUAGGGCAGCUAAUAUGCCCCAAUGUGGGGUCCUCUUUGGUGUGCUCAGCAGUGUCUCAGAACCUGCCACAAACUUCCUUUCCUGUGCCUGGGGGACUGGGGGAAGCCAGAUGGGCAAGCUCAGAUCCUGUUAUAGACCCACGUGUGAAAUGUCUGCUUCUAAGCCCUGCAUUGCCUGCCCUUUUAACGUUGUGAAACUGGCAUCAAAAGCUUGAAACUACUGUAACCUUUCACUUAGACUACCUCCUUGGUACAGGACCAGAAACCUGGCUUACAGUACUUGUCCAUGUUGGCCCCAGCAGCUGGCUCUUCCAGUUUCAGAACAACCCCAGGCACCCCUAGGUAUUGUUUAUCCAGCUCUCCUCCUCAGAGCUCACCGGACACAAUCGUCACUGGUUGGUGUCAUCUAGCUGAAGACUGACUUGCCCACAAUCCCUAGGAAUGAGAUUUUACUCAAAGCUAACAAACCUGGUUUCCAGGUAUGGGUUCUCACAAUAUCCAUGUAUACUUGUCUACUUGGGUUUGUAUAUUUUUUUCGUGUAAAAUAACAUUUACCAAUUUAACUGAUGGCCAUCUUCUUCAGAGGCCCUCAGAACAUCACAGAUGCAUGUGGGAAGACUGACAAGGAAAAUUUGUGCUUAUAAUUACUAUUUGGUUUCCAAGACUAAUCAUGCAAAUUUUAAAAGCCAACAAGACUUCCAGGUCCUUUGGUUAUGCAAAAAGUCCUGAAGGACAACAGCCAUCAGUUAAAGAAACAGGUUGAAACUAGAAAGGUCAAUGUAGACCCAGUCUAUCCUGUUGGCCUAGAGUUUUUAGAAAAAAAGUUUUUUAUGGAGUAUAAGCUAAAGAGGAACAGUUUGCACAGUUUGGACAAAAUAUAAGUACUCUUACCAAUAAAUAUGUUUCAAAAUGACAAAUAAAGCUCUCCCCAUUUGGCAGCUUGGAAUCCCAGCAAGAAGUGAUGGGCACAGGCACAAUGAGCUAUGUACAGAGUGUAAACAGUAAGCCCCUUAAGGGGAAGGAAAGGGGCAGGACCAGGUGACAGGUGUGCAGGGAGGAUCAUGGGAGUGUGGGUUAGGGCAGUGGGCCCAGGGUAAAUACAACAGGUUUGUACGACAGCCAUCUAAUAUGCCAUCAAAACUUGGUUGGUGACGGGUGCACUGGGUUCCUCCAGUCGGCAGUAAAGAGAAAUGUGACCACCGAGGCCGCCUGGCCCCACUGACCAUUUCCCAGGGGGCGGCGAGAAGGCUUCCGUGUUCUUCCUCCCGAGGGGCAGGGGCAGGGACAGGGGCAGGGGCAGGGGCAGGCUUCAAGGCCAGGCCGACCAGUUUCUCAAAUAGGGAACGGGCCGAAAGGCUUCACGGAUCCUGCAGCCCUUCCUUCCUAGCAAAAGAGUUCUGGGCACCUGUGUCCAGCAGGGGGCCCCAUGACUGCCCAGCCUUCAAGGGCUCCAACCCCAAAGUCCAGUCCCAGUAGUUUAGGGAAGCCACAGAGCCACCACAGGAUCGGUUUUCGAGUCCCUGAUCCACACAGGCCUCGUGAACAAAGCCAGCCCCCCCCCCCCCGCCCCGCCCCCAGCACACUCCCCAGCCUAGCUCCGGCGUUCUUAAAUAUCAGUCUCCCGGAGGUUAGUGUAGUCAGCUUCUUCAUAAGCCUGGCAGGUGGCGCCCUCUGCCAAAUCCUGGGGACUCCGAGAGACACGGCCUCCACUUCAGUGCGCAGGGCCUCUGGGCGCUGCGCGCCCCCGGAGCGGAUCUUGUGCGACAGGCUGGAGACCUUGGCACGCAGCUGGGUCGUGGGUCUCCGGAGGGGCCCAAGCAGCCGCCACUCGCGGAAAGUGCUGGGCGGCUUUCGAUGGCUGGAGACCGCAGCCUGGACCUCUGGCGUGCCGGGGGCAGAGGGCGCGAUGAGGGCCAGCGGGGCCCCUGGGGGCGCGGCGCCCGGGCUGGGGGCGCAGUCGGGAUGCGGGCCGCUGGUCGAGGCUCGCCAGUAGUGGCCGUAGACGCGCCAGAGAGGGCGGCGGCGGCGGCGGCGGCGACACUGGCAGCGCAGGAGGCGGAGGAAAGCGCGUUUGAACUCGCGGCUGGAGCAAGGGUAGAUGAGAGGGUUCACGCAGCUGUUGAAGUAGCCGAGCCAGAAGAUAACCUUGAACACACCUUCGGACGGCUUCAGCUGCGGGAACAGAGAGCCUGUUGAAAACAGAGACCCAGACGGUUAGCUGCUCCCUCGGGGAGCCCUGGGCACAAAGGGGUGAGCAUCUUACCCUCCCCCGAGCCAGGGCCAAAGCGUCCGCUAGGUGCUCUUAAGGGAUCCCUCCUUAAGGGCUCCCACAUAUUCUUCAGGAGCUCCGUGAACUUGGACGGGAAAAUAGGCAUUUUCACAUCUACUCCCUUCUCCCUGAAAUUGAACCAGGGUAGACAACAAACCAGAGAAGAGUUAGGCAAAAC